AGAGUUUGAUCCUGGCUCAGAACGAACGCUGGCGGCAUGCCUAACACAUGCAAGUCGAACGAAGGCUUCGGCCUUAGUGGCGCACGGGUGCGUAACGCGUGGGAAUCUGCCCCUCGGUUCGGAAUAACACAGAGAAAUUUGUGCUAAUACCGGAUGAUGACUUCGGUCCAAAGAUUUAUCGCCGAGGGAUGAGCCCGCGUAAGAUUAGGUAGUUGGUGGGGUAAAGGCCUACCAAGCCGACGAUCUUUAGCUGGUCUGAGAGGAUGAUCAGCCACACUGGGACUGAGACACGGCCCAGACUCCUACGGGAGGCAGCAGUGGGGAAUAUUGGACAAUGGGCGAAAGCCUGAUCCAGCAAUGCCGCGUGAGUGAUGAAGGCCUUAGGGUUGUAAGGCUCUUUUACCAGGGAUGAUAAUGACAGUACCUGGAGAAUAAGCUCCGGCUAACUCCGUGCCAGCAGCCGCGGUAAUACGGAGGGAGCUAGCGUUGUUCGGAAUUACUGGGCGUAAAGCGCACGUAGGCGGCUUCCCAAGUCAGAGGUGAAAGCCCGGGGCUCAACCCCGGAACUGCCUUUGAAACUAGCAAGCUAGAAUCU
rnacentral:rRNA from 1 species